rnacentral:rRNA from 1 species
GAUGAACGCUGGCGGCGUGCCUAACACAUGCAAGUCGAACGGAGAUUUAACGCUGAUGAAGCUUCGGCAGAUUCUUGUUAAAUCUUAGUGGCGGACGGGUGAGUAACGCGUGGGCAACCUGCCUCAUACUGGGGGAUAACAGCUGGAAACGACUGUUAAUACCGCAUAAGCGCACGGUAUCGCAUGAUCCAGUGUGAAAAACUCCGGUGGUAUGAGAUGGGCCCGCGUCAGAUUAGCCAGUUGGCAGGGUAACGGCCUACCAAAGCGACGAUCUGUAGCCGCCCUGAGAGGGCGGACGGCCCCAUUGGGACUGAGACACGGCCCAAACUCCUACGGGAGGCAGCAGUGGGGGAUAUUGCACAAUGGAGGAAACUCUGAUGCAGCGACGCCGCGUGAGUGAAGAAGUAUUUCGGUAUGUAAAGCUCUAUCAGCAGGGAAGAAAGCACUCGUAAGAGAGAUG